CAGGCAGUAGAGAGCGUUGCAUGCCUUUAGCAAUCUGAAUUGCUCUCUGAAGAUGUCAAUCUAUUUUCAUUAACUAUGGAAGAAUAUUGUGGUGUAUUAUUUCAUUAAUUCUAGAACAAGUUGAAGUAAUCAGUUAUAAUGCUAUUGUUUUGCCAAAUUAUUAACAGUGGCUCUAGAAGGAGUUUGGGAUGUGAGAAACAAUUUCUCCAUUAGAAGCCUGAAAGCAGUGUCACCGAACAGAAGCAGUUUACCUUUACAGCCUCAAUUCUACUCAAGACAUGCAAGAAUAAAAAAUUGCUGAACUUUACUGCUAUGAAGACUUGCGUCUGCUUUGAUGUGUCAAAUCAAACAUCAGAAUGACUAGCUACCUUUGGAAAUGUAGCUCUGUACUUCCAGGAUUUUGAAUAAAAUUCUGCUUGAAUAUGGA